rnacentral:ribozyme from 1 species
AGAGCAAAUGGAAGGAGAAAGAGAAGUCGCUCUCUCAUUCUCUCUUCUUUUUUUUCUCUUCUUCUUCUUUUUCUUUUUCUUCUUGUUGUUGUCUUGCAAAUUCCAAAGCGAUCUGUUGUGCUGUAC